CUUCGCGUCUAGUCGGUCUCUCACCCUUCCUAUUGGAAAUUUUCCACGUUUGUGACUGUUGGAGCUCCGAAAUUCAUGGUCGCGGGGUGUUGGUUGACCUUUCUUGCUUCCAAAUCGGAGGUAGAAAGAAUUUUUGUGCCGAGGAUGUAGGUGGGUCCUUCCGAGCUUCAUGUGUGGUGGCUGGGUGCGCAUUCAUGGUACCGUCAGAGGCUUUGGUUCAUUGCCUUAGCUUGUGAGUUUACUCUUUGUCUUGUUUCGGUGAUGUUGGAGCCUGCAAUCGAGAGGUUGCGUAAGUGGGUAGAAACAGGGUAAUGGUAGGCUUCGAGGUUUGUUUCUUUAGAAGUGUAGGAUUGUUGUCCAAGGACGCAACGUCAUGAUCUUCGAAGUUGAAUAGUAGAUGUUAAUGGGUGAAACGAUGGAGGGGAGGUUCCUUGUUGGAAGCGGCCAGCACUCAGCACCGGAUCUGGGAGAGUAUGGCUGCAACGUCGUAUGUUUUUGUAACAAUCGGGUGCUCUUCUUCGGAUUUUAGCGCUUUACCAAUCGCCAGUGUUGUGUAGCCGACAUGGGAUUCCGUCGAAAGGGUUCACGCGACGAUUGUCGGCGUUAACUGUUUGUUUUCCAUGCCGAGACCCAACAAGAGCUUCGAUUUUGAGGUCAUCGAAUCUGGAUUUUUAUGAAAAACUCGGUCGCACUGUUCUCGGAAGUGGUCAAAGAAGCAUUAUAAUCUUGUGUUAGAUAUUUGAAAUCCAGGGCAUUACCGGUAUUCCGUGAAUUCUGUAUAUAUUAGACCUGGUGCAAUUACCUGCGGUGCUGCUGGACGAAUUGGUGAACUUAUUAUAGCUUAUAUGCAUUGAGUCACAGCCUUCUUCCCCCAGUAAUGGUCAAUUGGCGUAUAAGAGCGGAAGUUGCACUCUGUUAUUUGCAUGAGCUGGCUUGAAGAUCGGUGGUCGAAAGACAGAAAUGUCUAAAAUAAAGGAAUUGAAUUAGGUUCUGCGGGAGUAUGUCUAAGGCAAGAUCAGGAGUGGAGACUUUUGUGCUACGUACUUUGUAGUAUUUGGUUUCUUGUUUGUGUAGAUGCUUAGUGAUCGAAGUAAUUUUUGCCUACCGGCAUCUUUGAAGCCAGCAUAGAAGAGUGAGUCCUGCAUAUGUGAAGAGAGUUGCAGAGAAGAAUCAACCGAGGCCCGGUUAUGGUACGGGGAUACGAGGGUCGCGCACGGUUGUAGUUGAAAGAGAAAAAUGUGAAGAAGACGCUUCGGAUUGGGAAGGAUGAAGGAUGCCACGGGCAUGGACAAUGCUAUGUUGGCACGGUACUCAGAGGUGCUGACAAGGAUGCUUAAGGAAGUGGAGCGCGCUGAGCGAGCUGCCAAAGGUGUGUUGAUAGAGGACGAAAACUUUAGAAUGCUGUCCAAGUAUCUUGAGAGCAUUCGCUUAAUUCUGGAAGAGCUCGGUAGCAAGAAUGUCAGCGACCCUGCGGGGAUGCAGGUUACCCUAAUGUCUAUUGAACAAGAAGUAGCAAAAGCGCAAUAUGUUAUCAGCAUAUGCACAUCGAAGAGUAAGUUUUACCUUAUUUUGAAAUGCCAGGAGUUUCUCAAGGAAAUUGAGGAUAUAACCCACGAGAUAGGUCAUUGUUUAGAUUCUAUCCCCGUUUCCGGUAUGGACUUGGCUGUGGAGACCCUGGAAACGAUGACUAAGCUGUCUAGUGAUAUGCGUAAAGCUCAGUUCAAACCUGGAACCGAUGAGGAGGCUAUUCUUGUUAAAAUCAAUGAUGGAAUCCGCAGCCGACAGACGAACUCGGAGUAUGCAAAUCAUUUAUUACUGCAGAUUGCAAGAGCAGUUGGAGUACCGACGAAUCCAGCCUCUCUGAAGGAAGAGCUGGAUGUUCUCAAGAGGGAAAAGGAAGACGCGCGAGCACGAGAGAAUCAGGAAGAGUAUCGAUAUCUUGAGCAGAUCAUCGUUCUUCUUAGUCGUGCUGAUGCAAUCACUUCUGCCAGUGAAAAGGAUCAAAAUUACCAGAAAAAGCGAGGUUCUGGUGGGUGGCGGGGACAUCCUCUUCCGCCUCUUCAAACCUUCUAUUGCCCGAUCACUCAUGAAAUCAUGGAGGAGCCAGUUGAGAUAGCAUCAGGGCAAACGUAUGAAAGAGCUGCGAUUGAGAAGUGGUUGUCUGCUGGAAAUUCCAAUUGUCCCACCACGAAGGUUGAGCUUGAGAGCCUAGAAAUCAAGCCGAACCUUGCAUUGCGGCAGUCUAUACAGGAAUGGAGAGAGAGGAACAUAGCCAUCAGUAUCGCCGCCACGAAACCUAAGUUACAAAGCACUAGUGAGAGUGAGAUAUGUUCUGCGUUGAGGACGUUACUGGCAUUGAGUGAAGAGAAAGGGAUUCAUCGGUACUGGAUUGCUCUUGAGGGUCUCAUUCCGUGUCUAGUUCAACUCCUUUCAUCUAACCAGAAAAUCGUUCGCAAAGAGACCCUUGAGUUGCUUCGUAGCCUGUCUGUGGACAACAAAGAAAAUAAGGAAAAUAUUGCGGCAGCAGGUGCAAUAAAGUUGGUGGUGAAGUCGCUAGCGAGGGAUGUAGGAGAGGGAAGACAAGCUGUAGCACUCUUACGAGAGCUCUCCAAAGAUCCUGAAAUCUGUGAGAAGAUUGGCAAGGUCCAGGGUUGCAUUUUACUGCUUGUCACCAUGUUGAAUGCUGAGAAUGCUCAGUCUGUAGCUGAUGCCAGAGAGCUUCUCAACAAUCUUGCUAAUAACGACCAGAAUGUCGUUCAAAUGGGUGAAGCAAAUUACUUUGGACCGCUUGCCCAACGUUUGAAUGAAGGUCCGGACAUGACGAAAAUCCUAAUGGCAAGCGCAUUAUCACGCAUGGGGCUGACGGACCAAAGCAAAGCAACGCUAGCGGCACAAGGAGCCAUUCCUCCGUUGGUGAAGAUGAUCUCUGUAGGCAAACUGGAAUCAAAAGCGGCAGCUCUAGGAGCUUUGAAGAAUCUCUCAACGCUAGCUGAAAAUCGAGAGAUCAUGAUUGAAGCUGGAGUCAUUCCUCCAAUUCUGCGGCUCUUAUUCUCUGUCACUUCCGUUGUGAUGAGCUUGAAAGAAAAUGCAGCAGCUACCCUUGGGAAUCUUGCUAUGGCGAGUACAAAUGCAGGGACCAAAAUUGACCACCAUGGUAACAUCCUUGAAUCUGAUGAAACAUUGUUCCAGUUAUUGUCGUUACUCAACCUUGCAGGGCCAAUGAUUCAGGGACACCUGCUCCGGGCGCUUCUGGGGAUGUCUAGCAUCUCGGAUGCUCGGGAGGUGCGAACCAAAAUGCGAGAAGGUGGCGCUAUCCAGCUCCUCCUUCCGUUCUGUGAAGCUCCCGGUGAAGAGGUUCGUAUUCCCGCGCUCAAGCUAUUGAAAUGCUUGUCAAGUGAGGGCGCGGGAAAAGAUUUGGCUGAUCAUUUAGGGCCAACCUACAUCAAGGCGCUGGUGAAGCUGCUAGUGGACUCAAGUGGAGACGAAGAGAAAAUGGCAUCUGUGGGCAUCAUUAACAACCUUCCCAUGAGUAAUGCAAAAAUGACAGAUGUCCUCUUGCAAGCUGAUGCGUUACCCGCCAUUGUAAACCUCCUUAACCCCUCGAGAGGACCGAAGAGUGGCCCUCGGACUGUGCGUAACGCACUCGCAGAGUGCGCUUCUGGAGCUCUUUUACGCUUCACUUCUCCGGAAAAUUCUAACGUCAGGGUUUUGCAACAAAAGGCAGCUGAUCUUGAUGCAAUCCCUCGUCUCGUUACACUUCUUCAAACUGGGACACCAUUGGCGAAGUGCAAAGCUGCUACCGCGCUCGGCCACUUUUCCCUCAGCAGCGAGGGACUUGCCUUAAAAGAAAACGUUCCCCGGUCGUGCUUUUCCUGUUUCAGACCCGCCAUGCCUGUGGGUUGCAGCAUUCAUGGCGGUCCGUGCUCCGUGAAGACCACCUUUUGUCUGGUGAUGGCGCAAGCAGUGCAACCUCUAGUGCAAGCGCUUGAAGUGCAAGAGAACGGAGCUGACUACGCAGCGCUCACUGCCCUUGGCACGCUCCUCGUCAAUGACGCCACUCUGGAAAAUGCAGUCAAGGUGAUUGCGCAAGCGCAAGGGAUCCGUCUUAUUGUCAGGUUACUGACUGUAGGCAGUGUGGAUGCUAAAGAAAAGGCCGUGUGGAUGCUUGAAAGGGUAUUUCGCAUUGAGGAGUACAAGAUUGAAUUUGGGAGUACCGCGCAGAUGCCGCUCAUUGAUUUGACUCAGAAGGGUUCUAUUGCAACGCGUCCUCUGGCAGCCAAGAUCCUGGCUCACUUGAACAUACUCCACAAUCAGUCGACGUAUUUCUAACAGGGUUUUGUUGCGGGGCCCAAGGGAACUGCGCUUCGCUAGGGAGGGUUGUGAUUAGCCUAGCUGCGUCUGCAAGUGGGUGCGUUCAUGAUCACUAAUGUUCAAACUGAUCGUGCUUUCCACAUACCCUUGUAUGCGUCUGACACAAAUUCAGACUGGAAUUUUGAAUGCUUCAUUGGUGCUGUGGAGAUAUUCUUGGGAUUGUCCAGAAUUACCUGUAAUUAUCAGCUGUUGCUGUGCGAGUUCAGGGUGGCACCCUGGAGAAUGGUGUAAAAUGGGGAAUGUAGGAAUUGCUGCAUGAUUUAGAGGCUGUUUUCAUGAUUCCCAACAAUCCUUCAAAUGGCCUAAGUAGCAGCCAUCCAAGGAUUUGGUGAGGAACCACGUGAUUAUCAAAUGACUGCACUUCAGUAAUGUGGAAGUUAGUCAAACAUCAUGGUUAUUUCCUCUUCGAGAUCCUCUUCA